GCUUUAUCAACAGUGGUGUCAUAGUCUCAGUUACUUGGGAGGCUGAGGGUGGGAGGAUCACUUGAGUCCCAGCAUUCUGAUCUGCAGUGUGCUACAUUGACCAGAUGACUGCACCAAGUUCAGCAUCAAUAUGAUGACAUCCCAGGGGUGAAGGACACUCAUUGCCUAAGGAGGUGUGAACCAAGCCAGGCCAAAAAUGAGGGAGCAGGUCCAAAUUCCCAUGCUGGUCAGUAGCAGGAUCAUGCUUGUGAAUAGCCACUGUACUCCAGCCUGGGCAGCACAGCAAGACCCUCUGUUUU
rfam:Otolemur garnettii contig088838, whole genome shotgun sequence.